UUGUCACUAACACAUUCUUUUAAAUACACGGUUUUUGUAAGUAGUUUAUGUUUUGAGUUUAAUUGUAGGGCUAUGUUCGACUGAAAGUGGAGGAGGGGCAGCAAGAAUGAUAGGUUUUGAUGAGGCUAAGCGCCAUGGUUCUGUGGGUCGGCAAUAAAAAAAUAUGGAGGCUAAGAUAGUUGACCCUGUUGCUGGAGAGGCAUUAUCUCCUGGCCAAAGAGAGAUUUGGAUUCGAGGACCAACAAUCAUGAAAGGUUACAUAGGAGAUGACAAGGCGACUGUUGAGUCAUUGGAUUUAGAGGGAUGGCUGAAGACCGACGAUCUUUGUUAUUUUGACUCUGAUGGUUUUCUAUUCAUUGUAGAUAGACUUAAGGAGUUGAUCAAAUAUAAAGCUUAUCAGGUUCCCCCGCUGAAUUAGAGCACAUACUCCUUACUAAUCCUGAAAUUGCAGAUGUCGCAGUAGUUCCGUUAGCUACCACAGGUGAGACUCUACUGUUGUUGUUGUUGCUGGUGAUUGCGACAUUUUGGUUGUUUUCAUGGUUGGUCAAUUCUUUGAAAUAUUUGUGUGAAUCAAAUAUGCUAAGCUCAGAUGCGGUAUCCUCGAGUGUGAGGUGAUGGUUAUGAUUAUUUGGUUGGAGAGUGUUUGGCUUUUGGGGGUUGAGAUAUGAUGAAAAAGAUGGAUCUCUAUCUCUUACAAUUGGGGAUUUUGGAGACAGGCUGCAUUCAAAGGUUUUCAUUGCUGUUGUUCUUUCCAUAUCUGUUUUCACACACUCUUUUUAUGCUUCUGCUAGUGAUGUUAUCAUAGUUUAAUAUAGUUGUAUGUAACUAGAAAAGCUGAGUGAAGAUGAAAUUGAAAUGAAUUUGAAAAAACUACUAGGUUGUGAUGUUGGUUGCCCAUGAUAUUCCUUUUGCUAUUAUAUA